UUUGCUUAUAAUAGUGACCGG
rnacentral:miRNA from 1 species